AUGUGCAGAGCCCUUGAUGUCCUUCAUUAUGAAGGAGGAGGAUGAUUUCAAAUUCCUUGCAACAGAAACCCACUUAGGUGGCACCAACCUUGACUUCCAAAUGGAACAGUACAUCUGCAAAAAGAAAAGUGAUGGCAUCUACAUCAUAAAUCUGCAGAGGACCUGGGAGAAGCUUCUGCUGGCAGCUCAUGCCUUUGUUGCCAUCACAUUCUCCAGGAACACUGACCAGCAGGCUGUGCUGAAGUUUGCUGCUGCCACUGGAGCCCCUCCUAUUGCCGGUCACUUCACUCCAGAACCUUCACUAACCAGAUCCAGGCAGCAUUCCAGGAGCCAUGUCUUCUGGUGGUUACUGAUCCCAGGGCUGACCGCCAGCCUCUCACAGAGGCGUCUUAUGUUAACCAGGCUACUGCUGCUCUGUGUAACACAGAUUCUCCUCUGCGCUACGUGGACGCCGCCAUCCCAUGCAACAACAAGGGAGCUCCCUCAGUGGGUCUGAUGUGGUGGAUGCUGGCUCGGGAAGUUCUGCACAUGAGUGGCACCAUCUCUCGUGAACACCCUUGGGAAGUCACACCUGAUCUCUGCUUCCACAGAGAUCCUGAAGAUAUUGAAAAGGAAGAGCAGGCUGCCGCUGAAAAGGCUGUGACCAAGGAGGGAUUUCAGGAUGAAUGGACUGCUCCUGCUGCUGCGGUUACCACUACUUAGCCUGAGGUUGCAGACCGGUCUGAAGGCGUGCAGGUGCCCUCCGUGCCUGUUCUGCAGUUCCCCACUGAGGACUGGAGCGCUCAGCCUGCCACGCAAGACUGGUCU